UAUUAUAAAAUUGUAAAUGUAAUAAUAUUAAAGUAGUAAUAGAUAAGAUCUUGAAACUUAAAGAAUUUGGCGGUGUUUUAAACCCAUACAGAGGAACUUGUUUUGUAAUUGAUGAUACACGAUUAAGAAUACUUAAUUUUAGUUUGUAUAUCGCCGUCAUAAGAUUAUCUUAGGAAAGUAAAAAUUUUCUUGAUAUAUUUUAGUAUAAAAUGUCAGGUCAAGGUGCAGUUAUAAUUAAGAAUUUAAUGAGUUACAAUAAAAAUAAAUUAAUUAUGAAUGUUUAUAAGGAAUUAUAAAUUGAAGGUGGAUUUGUAAGUAAAUUUAAUUUAAUAAUUUGAUUGAAAAUGGCUCUGAAAUAUGCACACAUCGCCCGUCGCUCUCAUAUUAAAGUGAG
rnacentral:rRNA from 1 species